CCUACGGGAGGCAGCAGUGAGGAAUAUUGGUCAAUGGACGAGAGUCUGAACCAGCCAAGUAGCGUGAAGGAUGACUGCCCUAUGGGUUGUAAACUUCUUUUAUAAAGGAAUAAAACGAGGCACGUGUGCCUUUUUGCAUGUACUUUAUGAAUAAGGAUCGGCUAACUCCGUGCCAGCAGCCGCGGUAAUACGGAGGAUCCGAGCGUUAUCCAGAUUUAGUGGGUUUAAAGGGAGCGUAGAUGGGUUGUUAAGUCAGUUGUGAAAGUUUGCGGCUCAACCGUAAAAUUGCAAUUGAUACUGGCAGUCUUGAGUACAGUUGAGGUAGGCGGAAUUCGUGGUGUAGCGGUGAAAUGCUUAGAUAUCACGAAGAACCCCGAUUGCGAAGGCAGCUUACUAAACUGUGACUGACAUUGAUGCUCGAAAGUGUGGGUAUCAAACAGGAUUAGAUACCCUUGUAGUC
rnacentral:rRNA from 1 species